GCAGGAUGCAGCAGUUAUUUAUUUACAUUUUUCAGCGUCAUAAAUCUCCAUAUAUCUCUAGCUCCAAGGAGAUGUGUACAACUCUCCUACAAGACAGACUCCAACUGGUAGAAAUAGCAGAUUUCUCACAGACAAAUAUCACUAGGUUGAUACGUUUAGUUCACAUACUCAAACAGACUAAAUAUCACUAGGUUGAUACGUUUAGUUCACAAACUCAAACAGACUAAAUAUCACUAGGUUGAUACGUUUAGUUCACAUACUCAAACAGACUAAAUAUCACUAGGUUGAUACGUUUAGUUCACAUACUCAAACAGACUAAAUAUCAUUAGGUUGAUACGUUUAGUUCACAUACUCAAACAGACUAAAUAUCACUAGGUUGAUACGUUUAGUUCACAUACUCAAACAGACUAAAUAUCACUAGGUUGAUACGUUUAGUUCACAUACUCAAACAGACUAAAUAUCACUAGGUUGAUACGUUUAGUUCACAUACUCAAACAGACUAAAUAUCACUAC
rnacentral:lncRNA from 1 species